rnacentral:rRNA from 1 species
CUCAGGAUGAACGCUAGCUACAGGCUUAACACAUGCAAGUCGAGGGGAAACGAUAUUGGAAGCUUGCUUCCGAUAGGCGUCGACCGGCGCACGGGUGAGUAACGCGUAUCCAACCUGCCCAUCACUUGGGGAUAACCUUGCGAAAGUAAGACUAAUACCCAAUGACGUCUCUAGAAGACAUCUGAAAGAGAUUAAAGAUUUAUCGGUGAUGGAUGGGGAUGCGUCUGAUUAGCUUGUUGGCGGGGUAACGGCCCACCAAGGCGACGAUCAGUAGGGGUUCUGAGAGGAAGGUCCCCCACAUUGGAACUGAGACACGGUCCAAACUCCUACGGGAGGCAGCAGUGAGGAAUAUUGGUCAAUGGACGAGAGUCUGAACCAGCCAAGUAGCGUGCAGGAUGACGGCCCUAUGGGUUGUAAACUGCUUUUAUAAGGGAAUAAAGUGGGAGUCGUGACUCUUUUUGCAUGUACCUUAUGAAUAAGGACCGGCUAAUUCCGUG